rnacentral:rRNA from 1 species
CCUACGGGAGGCUGCAGUGGGGAAUAUUGCACAAUGGGGGAAACCCUGAUGCAGCGACGCCGCGUGAGCGAUGAAGUAUUUCGGUAUGUAAAGCUCUAUCAGCAGGGAAGAAGAUGACGGUACCUGACUAAGAAGCCCCGGCUAACUACGUGCCAGCAGCCGCGGUAAUACGGAGGGGGCCAGCGUUAUCCGGAUUUACUGGGUGUAAAGGGAGCGUAGACGGCGUUGCAAGCCAGAUGGGAAAGCCCGGGGCUCAACCCCGGGACUGCAUUUGAAACUGGGUGGCUGGAGUGUCGGAGAGGCAGGCGGAAUUCGUGGUGUAGCGGUGCAAUGCGUAGAUAUUAGGAGGAACACCAGUGGCGAAGGCGGCCUGCUGGACGAUGACUGACGUUGAGGCUCGAAAGCGUGGGGAACAAACAGGAUUAGAUACCCCGGUAGUC